rnacentral:rRNA from 1 species
GACGAACCGUGCGAACGUUGUUCGGAAUCACUGGGCUUAAAGGGCGCGUAGGCGGUUUGCCAAGUCAGGGGUGAAAUCCUGCAGCUCAACUGUAGAAGUGCCUUUGAUACUGGCGAACUCGAGGGAGGUAGGGGUGCGUGGAACUUCUGGUGGAGCGGUGAAAUGCGUUGAUAUCAGAAGGAACGCCGGUGGCGAAAGCGACGCACUGGACCUCUUCUAACGCUGAGGCGCGAAAGCUAGGGGAGCAAACGGG